AAUUUUGGACAAGGGGGGAAACCCUGAUCCAGCCAUCCCGCGUGUAUGAUGAAGGCCUNCGGGUUNUNAAGUACUUUUGGCAGAGNCGAAAAGGUAUCCCCUAAUACGGGAUACUGCUGACUGUAUCUGCAGAAUAAGCACCGGCACACUACGUGCCAGCAGCCGCGGUAAUACGUAGGGUGCAAGCGUUAAUCGGAAUUACUGGGCGUAAAGCGUGUGUAGGCGGUUCGGAAAGAAAGAUGUGACAGCCCAGGGCUCAACCUGGGAACUGCAUUUUUAACUGCCGAGCUAGAGUAUGUCAGAGGGGGGUAGAAUUCCACGUGUAGCAGUGAAAUGCGUAGAUAUGUGGAGGAAUACCGAUGGCGAAGGCAGCCCCCUGGGAUAAUACUGACGCUCAGACACGAAAGCGUGGGGAGCAAACAGG
rnacentral:rRNA from 1 species